AUUGAACGCUGGCGGCAGGCCUAACACAUGCAAGUCGAACGGUAACAGGAAGCAACUUGCUGCUUUGCUGACGAGUGGCGGACGGGUGAGUAAUGUCUGGGAAACUGCCUGAUGGAGGGGGAUAACUACUGGAAACGGUAGCUAAUACCGCAUAACGUCGCAAGACCAAAGAGGGGGACCUUCGGGCCUCUUGCCAUCGGAUGUGCCCAGAUGGGAUUAGCUAGUAGGUGGGGUAACGGCUCACCUAGGCGACGAUCCCUAGCUGGUCUGAGAGGAUGACCAGCCACACUGGAACUGAGACACGGUCCAGACUCCUACGGGAGGCAGCAGUGGGGAAUAUUGCACAAUGGGCGCAAGCCUGAUGCAGCCAUGCCGCGUGUAUGAAGAAGGCCUUCGGGUUGUAAAGUACUUUCAGCGGGGAGGAAGGGAGUAAAGUUAAUACCUUUGCUCAUUGACGUUACCCGCAGAAGAAGCACCGGCUAACUCCGUG
rnacentral:rRNA from 1 species